GUGGGGAAUAUUGGACAAUGGGGGGAACCCUGAUCCAGCCAUGCCGCGUGUGUGAAGAAGGCCUUUUGGUUGUAAAGCACUUUAAGCGAGGAGGAGGCUACCGAGAUUAAUACUCUUGGAUAGUGGACGUUACUCGCAGAAUAAGCACCGGCUAACUCUGUGCCAGCAGCCGCGGUAAUACAGAGGGUGCAAGCGUUAAUCGGAUUUACUGGGCGUAAAGCGCGCGUAGGUGGCCAAUUAAGUCAAAUGUGAAAUCCCCGAGCUUAACUUGGGAAUUGCAUUCGAUACUGGUUGGCUAGAGUAUGGGAGAGGAUGGUAGAAUUCCAGGUGUGGCGGUGAAAUGCGUAGAGAUCUGGAGGAAUACCGAUGGCGAAGGCAGCCAUCUGGCCUAAUACUGACACUGAGGUGCGAAAGCAUGGGGAGCAAACAGGAUUAGAUACCCUGGUAGUCC
rnacentral:rRNA from 1 species